GACGAACGCUGGCGGCGUGCUUAACACAUGCAAGUCGAACGGUGAAGCGCCUUCCUUUUUGGUGGGUGUGGAUGAGUGGCGAACGGGUGAGUAACACGUGAGUAACCUGCCCCCUUCUUCUGGAUAACCGCAUGAAAGUGUGGCUAAUACGGGAUAUUCUGGGUCUGUCGCAUGAUGGGUCUGGGAAAGAUAUUGUUUCGGUGGGGGAUGGGCUCGCGGCCUAUCAGCUUGUUGGUGGGGUGAUGGCCUACCAAGGCGGUGACGGGUAGCCGGCCUGAGAGGGUGGAGGGUCACAGUGGGGCUAAGGCACGGCCGGGACGCCUGCGGGAGGCAGCGGUGGGGAGUAUUGCACAAGGGGCGCAGGCCUGAUGCCGCGUCGCCGCGGGGGGGAUGGCGGCCUUCGGGUUGUGAACCUCUUUCGCCAGUGAAGCAGGCCUGCCUCGUUUGUGGGUGGGUUGACGGUAGCUGGAUAAGAAGCGCCGGCUAACUACGUG
rnacentral:rRNA from 1 species